rnacentral:rRNA from 1 species
CCUACGGGAGGCAGCAGUGAGGAAUAUUGGUCAAUGGACGAGAGUCUGAACCAGCCAAGUAGCGUGAAGGAUGACUGCCCUAUGGGUUGUAAACUUCUUUUAUAUGGGAAUAAAAUGUUCCACGUGUGGGAUUUUGUAUGUACCAUAUGAAUAAGGACCGGCUAACUCCGUGCCAGCAGCCGCGGUAAUACGGAGGAACCGAGCGUUAUCCGGAUUUAUUGGGUUUAAAGGGAGCGUAGGUGGAUUGUUAAGUCAGUUGUGAAAGUUUGCGGCUCAACCGUAAAAUUGCAGUUGAAACUAGCAGUCUUGAGUACAGUAGAGGUGGGCGGAAUUCGUGGUGUAGCGGUGAAAUGCUUAGAUAUCACGAAGAACUCCGAUUGCGAAGGCAGUUCACUGGACUGCAACUGACACUGAGGCUCGAAAGUGUGGGUAUCAAACAGGAUUAGAUACCCCAGUAGUC